rnacentral:rRNA from 1 species
UACGAAGGGAGCUAGCGUUGUUCGGAAUCACUGGGCGUAAAGCGCACGUAGGCGGACUUGUCAGUCAGGGGUGAAAUCCCGGAGCUCAACUCCGGAACUGCCUCUGAUACAGCAAGUCUUGAGUCCGGAAGAGGUGGGUGGAAUUCCUAGUGUAGAGGUGAAAUUCGUAGAUAUUAGGAAGAACACCGGUGGCGAAGGCGGCCCACUGGUCCGGUACUGACGCUGAGGUGCGAAAGCGUGGGGAGCAAACAGG